rnacentral:rRNA from 1 species
GAUGAACGCUGGCGGCGUGCCUAAUACAUGCAAGUCGAGCGAACGGACGAGAAGCUUGCUUUUCUGAUGUUAGCGGCGGACGGGUGAGUAACACGUGGAUAACCUACCUAUAAGACUGGGAUAACUUCGGGAAACCGGAGCUAAUACCGGAUAAUAUUUUGAACCGCAUGGUUCAAAAGUGAAAGACGGUCUUGCUGUCACUUAUAGAUGGAUCCGCGCUUCAUUAGCUAGUUGGUAAGGUAACGGCUUACCAAGGCAACGAUGCAUAGCCGACCUGGGAGGGUGGUCGGCCACACUGGAACUGAGACCCGGUCCCGACUCCUACGGGAGGCAGCAGUAGGGAAUCUUCCGCAAUGGGCGAAAGCCUGACGGAGCAACGCCGCGUGAGUGAUGAAGGUCUUCGGAUCGUAAAACUCUGUUAUUAGGGAAGAACAUAUGUGUAAGUAACUGUGCACAUCUUGACGGUACCUAAUCAGAAAGCCACGGCUAACUACGUG